rnacentral:rRNA from 1 species
AUUGAACGCUGGCGGCAGGCUUAACACAUGCAAGUCGAACGAGUGGCGGACGGGCGAGUAAUGCUUGGGAAUCUGGCUUAUGGAGGGGGCUAACUACGGGAAACUGUAGCUAAUACCGCGUACCAUAGGAUGAGCCCAAGUGGGAUUAGGUAGUUGGUGAGGUAAAGGGUCACCAAGGCGACGCUGUCUAGCUGGUCUGAGAGGAUGACCAGCCACACUGGGACGGAGACACGGCCCAGACUCCGACGGGAGGCAGCAGUGGGGAAGAUUUGGCAAUGGGGGCAAGCUGACCGAGCAAUGCCGCGUGAAUGAAGAAGGGCUUCGGGUUGGAAAGUUCUUUCGGUAGCGAGGCGUUAACUACAGAAGAAGCACCGGCUAACUCCGUGCCAGCAGCCGCGGUAAUAC